GACUGUGUGGCAUAAAGGAUAAGGGAUCUGACUUCAGAUCAGAAGAUUAAGGGGUCAAGUUCCUUCACAUUUA
rnacentral:tRNA from 1 species